UACGGAGGGUGCAAGCGUUGUCCGGAUUUAUUGGGUUUAAAGGGUGCGUAGGUGGCUUAUUAAGUCAGUGUUUAAAGUCUGCAGCUUAACUGUAGGAAUGGCAUUGAUACUGAUGAGCUUGAGUAAAGUUGAGGUAGACAGAAUUGAAGGUGUAGCGGUGAAAUGCAUAGAUAUCUUCAAGAAUACCGAUUGCGAAGGCAGUUUACUAAGCUUUAACUGACACUGAGGCACGAAAGUGUGGGGGAUCAAACAGG
rnacentral:rRNA from 1 species